UUAAGCGACUAAGCGUACACGGUGGAUGCCCUGGCAGUCAGAGGCGAUGAAGGACGUGCUAAUCUGCGAAAAGCGUCGGUAAGGUGAUAUGAACCGUUAUAGCCGGCGAUGUCCGAAUGGGGAAACCCAGUGCAAUUCGUUGCACUAUCGUUAACUGAAUACAUAGGUUAACGAGGCGAACCGGGGGAACUGAAACAUCUAAGUACCCCGAGGAAAAGAAAUCAACCGAGAUUCCCCCAGUAGCGGCGAGCGAACGGGGAGCAGCCCAGAGUCUGAAUCAGCUUGUGUGUUAGUGGAACGGUCUGGAAAGUCCGACGGUACAGGGUGAUAGUCCCGUACACCAAAAUGCACAGGCUGUGAACUCGAAGAGUAGGGCGGGACACGUGGUAUCCUGUCUGAAUAUGGGGGGACCAUCCUCCAAGGCUAAAUACUCCUGACUGACCGAUAGUGAACCAGUACCGUGAGGGAAAGGCGAAAAGAACCCCGGCGAGGGGAGUGAAAAGAACCUGAAACCGUGUACGUACAAGCAGUGGGAGCACCUUCGGGUGUGACUGCGUACCUUUUGUAUAAUGGGUCAGCGACUUAUAUUCUGUAGCAAGGUUAACCGUAUAGGGGAGCCGCAGGGAAACCGAGUCUUAACUGGGCGUUAAGUUGCAGGGUAUAGACCCGAAACCCGGUGAUCUAGCCAUGGGCAGGUUGAAGGUUGGGUAACACUAACUGGAGGACCGAACCGACUAAUGUUGAAAAAUUAGCGGAUGACUUGUGGCUGGGGGUGAAAGGCCAAUCAAACCGGGAGAUAGCUGGUUCUCCCCAAAAGCUAUUUAGGUAGCGCCUCGUGAACUCAUCUUCGGGGGUAGAGCACUGUUUCGGCUAGGGGGUCAUCCCGACUUACCAACCCGAUGCAAACUACGAAUACCGAAGAAUGUUAUCACGGGAGACACACGGCGGGUGCUAACGUCCGUCGUGAAGAGGGAAACAACCCAGACCGCCAGCUAAGGUCCCAAAGUCAUGGUUAAGUGGGAAACGAUGUGGGAAGGCACAGACAGCCAGGAUGUUGGCUUAGAAGCAGCCAUCAUUUAAAGAAAGCGUAAUAGCUCACUGGUCGAGUCGGCCUGCGCGGAAGAUGUAACGGGGCUAAACCAUGCACCGAAGCUGCGGCAGCGACACUAUGUGUUGUUGGGUAGGGGAGCGUUCUGUAAGCCUGCGAAGGUGUGCUGUGAGGCAUGCUGGAGGUAUCAGAAGUGCGAAUGCUGACAUAAGUAACGAUAAAGCGGGUGAAAAGCCCGCUCGCCGGAAGACCAAGGGUUCCUGUCCAACGUUAAUCGGGGCAGGGUGAGUCGACCCCUAAGGCGAGGCCGAAAGGCGUAGUCGAUGGGAAACAGGUUAAUAUUCCUGUACUUGGUGUUACUGCGAAGGGGGGACGGAGAAGGCUAUGUUAGCCGGGCGACGGUUGUCCCGGUUUAAGCAUGUAGGCUGGUUGUCCAGGCAAAUCCGGAUAAUCAAGGCUGAGGUGUGAUGACGAGGCACUACGGUGCUGAAGUAACAAAUGCCCUGCUUCCAGGAAAAGCCUCUAAGCAUCAGGUAACAUCAAAUCGUACCCCAAACCGACACAGGUGGUCAGGUAGAGAAUACCAAGGCGCUUGAGAGAACUCGGGUGAAGGAACUAGGCAAAAUGGUGCCGUAACUUCGGGAGAAGGCACGCUGGUGUGUAGGUGAAGUCCCUGCGGAUGGAGCUGAGACCAGUCGAAGAUACCAGCUGGCUGCAACUGUUUAUUAAAAACACAGCACUGUGCAAACACGAAAGUGGACGUAUACGGUGUGACGCCUGCCCGGUGCCGGAAGGUUAAUUGAUGGGGUUAUCCGUAAGGAGAAGCUCUUGAUCGAAGCCCCGGUAAACGGCGGCCGUAACUAUAACGGUCCUAAGGUAGCGAAAUUCCUUGUCGGGUAAGUUCCGACCUGCACGAAUGGCGUAAUGAUGGCCAGGCUGUCUCCACCCGAGACUCAGUGAAAUUGAACUCGCUGUGAAGAUGCAGUGUACCCGCGGCAAGACGGAAAGACCCCGUGAACCUUUACUAUAGCUUGACACUGAACAUUGAGCCUUGAUGUGUAGGAUAGGUGGGGAGGCUUUGAAGCGUGGACGCCAGUCUGCGUGGAGCCAACCUUGAAAUACCACCCUUUAAUGUUUGAUGUUCUAACGUUGGCCCCUUACCGGGGUUGCGGACAGUGUCUGGUGGGUAGUUUGACUGGGGCGGUCUCCUCCCAAAGCGUAACGGAGGAGCACGAAGGUUAGCUAAUCCUGGUCGGACAUCAGGAGGUUAGUGCAAUGGCAUAAGCUAGCUUGACUGCGAGCGUGACGGCGCGAGCAGGUGCGAAAGCAGGUCAUAGUGAUCCGGUGGUUCUGAAUGGAAGGGCCAUCGCUCAACGGAUAAAAGGUACUCCGGGGAUAACAGGCUGAUACCGCCCAAGAGUUCAUAUCGACGGCGGUGUUUGGCACCUCGAUGUCGGCUCAUCACAUCCUGGGGCUGAAGUAGGUCCCAAGGGUAUGGCUGUUCGCCAUUUAAAGUGGUACGCGAGCUGGGUUUAGAACGUCGUGAGACAGUUCGGUCCCUAUCUGCCGUGGGCGCUGGAGAAUUGAGGGGGGGCUGCUCCUAGUACGAGAGGACCGGAGUGGACGCAUCACUGGUGUUCGGGUUGUCAUGCCAAUGGCACUGCCCGGUAGCUAAAUGCGGAAGAGAUAAGUGCUGAAAGCAUCUAAGCACGAAACUUGCCCCGAGAUGAGUUCUCCCUGAGACUUUAAGUCUCCUGAAGGAACGUUGAAGACGACGACGUUGAUAGGCCGGGUGUGUAAGCGCAGCGAUGCGUUGAGCUAACCGGUACUAAUGAACCGUGAGGCUUAACCUU
rnacentral:rRNA from 1 species